rnacentral:rRNA from 1 species
AUUGAACGCUGGCGGCAUGCCUUACACAUGCAAGUCGAACGGCAGCACGGGUGCUUGCACCUGGUGGCGAGUGGCGAACGGGUGAGUAAUAUAUCGGAACGUACCUUAUUGUGGGGGAUAACGCAGCGAAAGCUGUGCUAAUACCGCAUAAUCCCUAAGGGGGAGAGCGGGGGACCGCAAGGCCUCGCGCAAUUAGAGCGGCCGAUACCUGAUUAGCUAGUUGGUGAGGUAAAGGCUCACCAAGGCAACGAUCAGUAGCUGGUCUGAGAGGACGAUCAGCCACGCUGGGACUGAGACACGGCCCAGACUCCUACGGGAGGCAGCAGUGGGGAAUUUUGGACAAUGGGGGCAACCCUGAUCCAGCAAUGCCGCGUGAGUGAAGAAGGCCUUCGGGUUGUAAAGCUCUUUUGUCAGGGAAGAAACAGCAGCUCUAACACAGUUUGCGAAUGACGGUACCUGAAGAAUAAGCACCGGCUAACUACGUGCCAGCCGCCGCGGUAA